UACGUAGGUGGCAAGCGUUGUCCGGAUUUACUGGGCGUAAAGAGCGCGCAGGCGGUCGUUCAAGUCGCGUGGGAAAGCCCCCGGCUCAACUGGGGAGGGUCACGCGAUACUGAUCGACUCGAAGGCAGUAGAGGGUAGUGGAAUUCCCGGUGUAGUGGUGAAAUGCGUAGAUAUCGGGAGGAACACCAGUGGCGAAGGCGACUACCUGGCCUGUUCUUGACGCUGAGGCGCGAAAGCUAGGGGAGCAAACGGG
rnacentral:rRNA from 1 species